UACGUAGGGUGCAAGCGUUGUCCGGAAUUAUUGGGCGUAAAGAGCUCGUAGGCGGUCUGUCGCGUCUGCUGUGAAAAUCCAGGGCUCAACCCUGGACCUGCAGUGGGUACGGGCAGACUAGAGUGCGGUAGGGGGUAGCGGAAUUCCCAGUGUAGCGGUGAAAUGCGUAGAUACGUGGGAGGAACACCGGUGGCGAAGGCGGCUACCUGGACCGGUUCUGACGCUGAUGCGCGAAAGCGUGG
rnacentral:rRNA from 1 species